rnacentral:rRNA from 1 species
UUAUCGGAUUUAUUGGGUUUAAAGGGAGCGUAGAUGGAUGUUUAAGUCAGUUGUGAAAGUUUGCGGCUCAACCGUAAAAUUGCAGUUGAUACUGGAUGUCUUGAGUGCAGUUGAGGCAGGCGGAAUUCGUGGUGUAGCGGUGAAAUGCUUAGAUAUCACGAAGAACUCCGAUUGCGAAGGCAGCCUGCUAAGCUGCAACUGACAUUGAGGCUCGAAAGUGUGGGUAUCAAACAGGAUUAGAUACCCUGGUAGUCCACACGGUAAACGAUGAAUACUCGCUGUUUGCGAUAUACGGCAAGCGGCCAAGCGAAAGCGUUAAGUAUUCCACCUGGGGAGUACGCCGGCAACGGUGAAACUCAAAGGAAUUGACGGGGGCCCGCACAAGCGGAGGAACAUGUGGUUUAAUUCGAUGAUACGCGAGGAA